UUGAUCAGAUUUGCUCCCGUUUAACCGAGACCUAUGGGAGGAUAAAAUACGUCUCUCAUAUCCACCAGUGAAGGGAUUGGUGGAAAUAAAGUAUCGC
rnacentral:ncRNA from 1 species